rnacentral:rRNA from 1 species
GACGAACGCUGGCGGCGUGCUUAACACAUGCAAGUCGAACGGAAAGGCCCUGCUUUUGUGGGGUGCUCGAGUGGCGAACGGGUGAGUAACACGUGAGUAACCUGCCCUUGACUUUGGGAUAACUUCAGGAAACUGGGGCUAAUACCGGAUAGGAGCUCCUGCUGCAUGGUGGGGGUUGGAAAGUUUCGGCGGUUGGGGAUGGACUUGCGGCUUAUCAGCUUGUUGGUGGGGUAGUGGCUUACCAAGGCUUUGACGGGUAGCUGGCCUGAGAGGGUGACCGGCCACAUUGGGACUGAGAUACGGCCCAGACUCCUACGGGAGGCAGCAGUGGGGAAUAUUGCACAAUGGGCGGAAGCCUGAUGCAGCAACGCCGCGUGCGGGAUGACGGCCUUCGGGUUGUAAACCGCUUUCGCCUGUGACGAAGCGUGAGUGACGGUAAUGGGUAAAGAAGCACCGGCUAACUACGUG